rnacentral:rRNA from 1 species
AUUGAACGCUGGCGGCAUGCUUUACACAUGCAAGUCGAACGGUAACAGGCCGCAAGGUGCUGACGAGUGGCGAACGGGUGAGUAAUGCAUCGGAACGUGCCCAGUCGUGGGGGAUAACUACUCGAAAGAGUAGCUAAUACCGCAUACGAUCUAUGGAUGAAAGCGGGGGACCGUAAGGCCUCGCGCGAUUGGAGCGGCCGAUGUCAGAUUAGGUAGUUGGUGGGGUAAAGGCUCACCAAGCCAACGAUCUGUAGCUGGUCUGAGAGGACGACCAGCCACACUGGGAGUGAGACACUGCCCAGACUCCUACGGGAGGCAGCAGUGGGGAAUUUUGGACAAUGGGAGCAAGCCUGAUCCAGCAAUGCCGCGUGCAGGAAGAAGGCCUUCGGGUUGUAAACUGCUUUUGUACGGAACGAAACGGCUCUGGUUAAUACCCGGGGCUAAUGACGGUACCGUAAGAAUAAGCACCGGCUAACUACGUG